rnacentral:rRNA from 1 species
CAGUCGCCACGGGAAUACGGAGGGGGCCAGCGUUGUUCGGAAUUACUGGGCGUAAAGCGCACGUAGGCGGCUUGGUAAGUUAGAGGUGAAAGCCUGGUGCUCAACACCAGAACUGCCUUUAAGACUGCAUCGCUUGAACGUCGGAGAGGUGAGUGGAAUUCCGAGUGUAGAGGUGAAAUUCGUAGAUAUUCGGAAGGAACACCUGUGGCGAAAGCGGCUCACUGGACCAUUUCUGACGCUGAUGCACGAAAGCUAGGGGAGCAAACAGGAUUAGAUACCCGCGUAGUCCCUGUCUCUUAUA